GGAGCUUAGUUCGAUGCUUGGGCAGUUGAAUCUACAGAAAGGACACGGCUGAUAUUAGUGCGAAAGUCAACCAAUACAACUCAGAGCUGUCCAGAAUUCUGGAUUAUCAUGCACCACUUAUCACCAGAGAGAUAAUUAGUCGUCCAGCUGCACCUUGGUACACUGAACAAAUUAAAAACGAAAAACGUAUCAGAAGAAAACUCGAGCGGAUGUGAAGAGGACGGCCAUCCGAAUUAAAGUACUAAAUGUGCUUUGUAACAUAUUAGGAACGUUAUCUCUACUAUAUGAGGUAUAAAAUAUUGGUACU